rnacentral:rRNA from 1 species
CCCUUAGAUGUUCUGGGCCGCACGCGUGCUACACUGAGUGGAUCAGCGGGUCAGGUUGCGCGAAAGCGUUUCCUAAUCUUUAAAUCCGCUCGUGAUGGGGAUUGACGGUUGCAAUUUUCUGUCAUGAACGAGGAAUACCUUGUAAGCGCGGGUCAUCAUCCCGCGCUGAAUACGUCCCUGCCCUUUGUACACACCGCCCGUCGCUCCUACCGAUUGAAUGGUUUAGUGAGGCCUUCGGAUCCGCGACUCGUUUUGUGGAGAAGUUGGACAAACUCAGUCAUUUAGAGGAAGUAAAAGUCGUAACA